rnacentral:rRNA from 1 species
AGAUCCCUGAAAGAUGAUCAGGUUGAUAGGUCAGAGGUGGAAGCACGGCGACGUGUGUAGCUGACUGAUACUAAUCGAUCGAGGACUUAACCAA